rnacentral:rRNA from 1 species
AUUGAACGCUAGCGGGAUGCUUUACACAUGCAAGUCGAACGGAGUGGCGGACGGGUGAGUAAUAUCUCGGAACGUGCCCAGGAGCGGGGGAUAACUACUCGAAAGAGUGGCUAAUACCGCCUCCUAUUUGCGCGUCCGAUUUCGGAUUAUCUAGUGGGUGGGGUAAAGGCGCCCCAAGGCAACGAUCCGUAGCUUGUUUGAGAGGACGACCAGCCACACUGGGACUGAGACACGGCCCAGACUCAUACGGGAGGCAGCAGUGGGGAAUUUUGGACAAUGGGGGAAACCCUGAUCCAGCCAUCCCGCGGGUAUGAUGAAGGCCUUCGGGUUGUAAAGUACUUUUGGCAGAGAAGCGGUAUCUGCAGAAUAAGCACCGGCUAACUACGUGCCAGCCGCCGCGGUAAUUC